rnacentral:rRNA from 1 species
AGCGUUGUUCGGAAUUACUGGGCGUAAAGCGCACGUAGGCGGACUAUUAAGUCAGGGGUGAAAUCCCGGGGCUCAACCCCGGAACUGCCUUUGAUACUGCUAGUCUCGAGUCCGGAAGAGGUGAGUGGAAUUCCGAGUGUAGAGGCGAAAUUCGUAGAUAUUCGGAGGAACACCAGUGGCGAAGGCGGCUCACUGGUCCGGUACUGACGCUGAGGUGCGAAAGCGUGGGGAGCAAACAGG